GAAAAGCCAGUCAUCCACUUCAUCUCGUGUUCUAAAUGACAAAACCUUGGAUGAAGGAAUCGACCUGCCAGGAUUAUUCGCCAUGAUUCCGUUUACAAUCUGACUGAUUUUCGGACUCUGAGAGCCACUCCAAAUAAAAUCAUAGCAGGGGAAAGCGAUGAAGUUUUUGUCCUCACAAGGCGGAAUUGGCGGCGACAGUAGAGGUUCGGGGUCCCGCACAUCCUUGUAAGAUGUGGAAGAAGAGAAACGAGCUUCGAUAGCUCUCUGAAUUAUGAAUAGAAGGAAGAUGAAGAAGAGCGAUGCGCAAAGCUGAAGAAAUGUGGCCAUCUUGUUCCGCCAUGCGACUAAAAAAU
rnacentral:misc_RNA from 1 species